rnacentral:rRNA from 1 species
CACGUAGGGGGCGAGCGUUGUCCGGAUUUAUUGGGCGUAAAGAGCGUGUAGGCGGUUCGGUAAGUCUGUCGUGAAAUCCUGGGGCUCAACCCCGGGCGUGCGAUGGAUACUGCCGGGCUAGAGGAUGGUAGAGGCGAGUGGAAUUCCAGGUGUAGCGGUGAAAUGCGUAGAUAUCUGGAGGAACACCGGUGGCGAAGGCGGCAUCCUGGACCAACACUGACACUGAGGAGCGAAAGCCAGGGGAGCAAACGGG